rfam:Picea glauca, whole genome shotgun sequence.
ACAUGCCUACAUCGUAGCGUUAAUGCACUGGAUCCUAUUAUAACUCCGCAGUUAAGCACGCUCAGGCUAGAGUAGUACAGGGAUGGAUGAUUGCUCGAGAAUGUUCGACAACACAGGUA